rnacentral:rRNA from 1 species
CUUAACCUGGGAAUGGCAUUUGAGACUGGCAGGCUAGAAUGUGGUAGAGGUGAGUGGAAUUCCAGGUGUAGCGGUGAAAUGCGUAGAGAUCUGGAGGAACAUCAGUGGCGAAGGCGACUCACUGGGCCAUUAUUGACGCUGAGGUGCGAAAGCGUGGGUAGCAAACAGGAUUAGAUACCCUGGUAGUCCACGCCCUAAACGAUGUCAACUAGGUGUAUGGGAAAUUUAUUUCUUGUGUAUCGAAGCUAACGCGAUAAGUUACCGCCUGGGGAGUACGGUCGCAAGACUAAAACUCAAAUGAAUUGACGGGGGCCCGCACAAGCGGUGGAGCAUGUGGUUUAAUUCGAUGCAACGCGAAGAACCUUACCUGGCCUUGACAUGCACGGAAUCCUGCAGAGAUGCGGGAGUGCCUUCGGGAACCG